UGACAGUGGCGCGCCGCCCAGCCGCUAGGAGGAAGCCGGGCUCCCGGCCAGGAUCGCCGCCAAGUCCCCCGCGUGGAAGAGGAGGAAGCGGCUCUUCUCGACUCUCGCGUCCGCACCAAACACAACACUUGGACAGACGGGACGCAGCCAAAGUACCACGUCUUGGCGGAGGUUACAUGGGGGCCGCGCCAUGACGUCCACGGCCAGCGAAAGGCGGGCGUUCGCGCACAAAAUCAACCGGACGGUGGCUGCAGAAGUCCGGAAGCAAGUGUCCAGAGAGUAUGGCUCCCCGCUCCUGUCCAAAAAGCGAGGAGCACUGCACCAUCCUUUACCCCUGACUGAGGUGGUGGAGCCAGUGGAUUUUGAGGAUUAUUUGAGCAGUCAUGCUCCCGGGGUGGAGUCGGGCCCUCUCAGGCAGCUGAUGGAGUUUCCCCAGGACGACUUAGAGCUGCACCACUCAGACAAAGAGUGCACUACGCUGGAGCCGCCGCUGCCUGAGGAGGAAGACGCACUGGAUCCCCGAGUGAGAGACGCCUUGGCAGUCUACACAGAUGACUGGCUCGUCAUUCAAAGAAAAUACCAGCGCUACAGCACCACGCACAGCCCGCAGAGCUCCGAGCGACAGAGGGAGAGGCAGCGAGGCUUGCUCAAACAGACUUUUGAACUGGACCAGGCAGCUGCUGCCGAGCAGGAUGACGCAAAGCGGCGGUCAGCCUCCGUUGAUGAGACGCCACGGGGCAGUUGGGCCUCCAGCAUCUUUGACCUGAAGAACUCCUCCCCAGACGUGCUCUUCCCCAGCGUCCUGGAGCGCACGGGGCCGGAGGACAUGGACUGUCGCAACACAGAGGCCCGCCUGCAGGGGCGCCACGGUGACCUGCUCGGCCUCUACCCUCCGCCCGAUGAGGACGAGGCCGUGGAGCGAUGCACUGUCCCUGAAGUUCCCAAAGAACACAGUGGCCAGAGAAUCAUGGUCAAGUGCCUUUCUCUCAAGUUCGAGAUAGAAAUCGAACCAAUAUUUGGAUCGCUGGCCCUUUAUGACGUCAAGGAAAAGAAAAAGAUUUCCGAGAAUUUCUAUUUCGACCUGAACUCUGAUCAGAUGAAAGGCCUCCUUAAGCCGCACACGCCUCACGUGGCCAUCUCCACGCUGGCACGCUCGGCCAUUUUCUCUAUCACGUACCCCUCCGCCGACAUCUUCCUGGUCAUUAAGCUGGAGAAGGUUCUUCAGCAAGGAGACAUUGGAGAGUGCUGUGAACCCUACAUGGUCAUGAAGGAAUCAGACUCCUCUAAGCACAAGGAGAAGCUGGAGAAGUUGCGCCUGCAGGCGGAACAGUCCUGUACCCGCCUGGGCUGCUUCCGCAUGCCCUUCGCCUGGACGGCCAUUCACCUGCUCAACAUUGUCAGCAGCGUAGGGGGUCUGGACCGCUUGGACCCUGACUCCGAUUCUGAGCGCAAAGGCCAUGGAACGUGGAACGAAAAAAAGAAAAAGGGAUUUGAGCGAAUGAGCGUCGGCGAUGAUGUGUGUAACUUUGCCACUUUCCGCCCAGCAACCCUGACCGUCACCAACUUCUUUAAGCAGGAGGGGGACAGGCUGAGCGAUGAAGACCUCUACAAGUUUCUGGCAGACAUGCGCAGACCGUCCUCUGUCCUGCGACGACUGAGGCCCGUCACAGCCCAGUUGAAGAUUGACAUUUCUCCGGCGCCGGACUCGCCUCAUUACUGCCUGUCACCCGAGCUGCUGCACGUCAAGCCAUACCCGGACCUGCGGGUCCGCCCCACCAAAGAGGUGCUGGAAUUCCCCACUCGCUACGUGUACACGCCGCACACUAGCUACAGGAACCUGCUCUACGUUUAUCCUCAAAGCCUGAACUUCAGCAGCCGCCAGGGCUCAGUGAGGAACAUCGCCGUGAAAGUUCAGUUCAUGGCAGGGGAGGACCCCAGCCAAGCUUUGCCGGUCUUCUUUGGGAAGUCCAGUUGUGCCGAGUUCCUGAGAGAGGCGUUCACCCCCAUCAUCUACCACAACAAGUCUCCUGAGUUCUAUGAGGAGAUGAAGCUGAAAAUUCCUGCCAACCUCACAGACAACCACCACCUUCUCUUUACCUUCUACCACAUCAGCUGCCAAACCAAACAGAACACCCCUCUGGAGACCCCUGUGGGCUACACUUGGAUCCCCCUCAUGCAGCAUGGCCGACUGCGCACCGGUGCCUUCAGUUUGCCCGUCUCAGUGGAAAAGCUCCCGCCCAGCUACUCUGUGCUGACCCCCGAUGUCCAGCUCCCGGGCAUGAAGUGGGUGGAUAACCACAAAGGCGUGUUCAACGUGGAGGUGACAGCCAUGUCCUCCGUGCACACACAGGACCCCCACCUGGACAAGUUCUUCACUUUAGUGUACGUGCUCGAGGAGUACUCCUUCCCCUUCCGCCUCAAGGACGUCAUCAUCAGCGAGGCCAACAUGGAAGGCGAGCUGAAGGCCAGCAUGGCCACGCUGAGGAGUGCCCUGCUGGACACCUGUGUCAGGUUUCUCCACCAGCUGCUCAACAAACUGAUCCAGCUCAUCGUGUACCCUCCGGUCAUUGCGGGCCAAAUUGUAAACCUUGGCAGGGCUGCCUUUGAAGCCAUGGCUCUGCUGGUCAACCAGAUCCACAAAAAUCUGGAAGGGAACCAGGACCAGCACGGGCGCAACAACCUGCUGGCCUCCUUCAUCCAUUACUGCUUCCGCCUGCCAACUGCUGAGCCGGCCAUGCCGCCGCCAACUGGCGCUCAGUCCUACGAGAUCCCCUUGCAGUACGCCACCUUCUCCAGAGCCACAGGCAGGCCCAGCAGCCUGAACCUGGCGCGUUCGAAGAGUAUCAGCAACUCUGACCCCGACUUGGCCAGCACGCCACUUUCUCCCGACGAAGAAGUGCAGAGGAUCAUAGGCAGCAAGGGCAUUGAUCGCUCCCACUCCUGGGUCAAUUCUGCUUACGCCCCCGGGGGCUCCAGAUCUGUGCUACGUCGGAACCCCAACUCCAGCUGCGAGCUCAAGCAGGCAAUCGACCGCAGCAACAAUCGCAUGUCCGCCUUUCUGGACAGCGUGGCCUCAUUUUCAGUUCCGCCAAGGCAGAUUACCAAGAAGCUGCUCCAUGAAGAGCUGGCUCUGCAGUGGGUUGUCAGCAGCAGCAAUGUGAGGGAAGCAGCGCUGCAGCAGGCCUGGUUCUUCUUCCAGCUCAUGACAAAAAGCAUGGCCCAUCAUUUAUUCCUCACCUCAAAGCUGGACCUUCCACGGCGUCAACGCUUCCCUGGCCGCUUUGUGGACGACAUCGCCGCUCUGGUUUGUGCCAUCAGUGCAGAUAUUGCCAGCCGGUACCACAAGGAUGUGGAGCUUGUGGAGAGACUAAAUAACAGUCUGGCCUUCUUCCUCAAUGACUUGCUGUCUCUCAUGGACCGAGGCUUUGUGUUCAACCUCAUCCGCUCCUACUACAAACAGAUCAGUAACAAGUUCCACAUGACGCCGAACCCCACCUCUCUGAAUGCUCUGCGGAUGGACUUCAUGCGGAUCGUCUGCAGCCACGAGCACUACGUGGUCCUCAACCUGCCCUGCUCCACCCUCAGCCCCCCGGCUUCACCUUCCCCUUCCACAUCCUCCACCACCUCACAGAGUUCAGCAUUUUCCAGUAUGGCACAAGACCAGGGUGUGGCGACCAUGUUUGAGCUCUCCGUUCCGUUCCGGCAGCAGCACUUCCUGUCAGGCGUCCUCCUCAGCGAGCUCGCACUCAUACUUGAUCCGGAAGGAGAGGGGGUGUUUUUCCUUCAUAAAAAAGCUAUUAGUGCCGUUCACUCCCUGCUGUGCAGCCAUGAUUCUGAUCCUCGCUACAGCGACCCUCAGGUCAGAGCCCACAUCGCUCAGCUCUACCUGCCUCUCAUCCUCAUCGUCAUGGAAACCCUGCAUCAGCUCCAUGACUUUUCAGACUCCACUCUGUCUCGAGUGCGCCACGUCCCAGCCCACGCCGACGAUGCAGACUUAGACGGUAACAACACUAUCAGUCAGUCUGUUGCCAUGGCGAUCGCCGGCUCCCCCAUGCAUCACACCAAGGCCAACCCGUUUGCACUUCCCACAGUGGCCGGGCGCCAGGGCAGCUGCUUGUCCGCCGAGUGCAGCCGAACUCUGCUUGUAUGUUUUCUGUGGGUGCUGAAGAAUGCCGAGCCCGCUCUCCUGGAGCGCUGGGUGUCCUAUCUGUCGGUGCAGCAAAUCAACCGCCUGCUGGAGCUGCUGCACCUCUGUGUCUCCUGCUUUGAGUACAAGGGGAAGAAGGCUCUGGAGAGGAUCAACAGCUUGACAUUUAAGAAAUCGCAGGACAUGAAAGCGCGUCUGGAGGAGGCCAUCCUCGGUACCAUCGGCGCUCGCCAGGAGAUGGUGCGCCGUUGCCGAGAAAGGAGUCCCUAUGGCAGCCAGGAGAACGUCAGGUGGAGAAAGAAUGUCACUCACUGGAAACAAAACACAGACAGGGUGGACAAGACUAAGGCUGAAGUGGAGCAGGAGACUGUGGUGGAUGGAAACUUGUCUACAGAGGCGUCCCUAGUUGUGUUGGACACACUGGAGAUUAUAGUCAAGACUGUGGUGGCAUCAGAGCUGAAGGAAAGUGUGUUAGGAGGCGUGCUGAGAGUUCUUCUCCACAGCAUGGCAGGCAACCAGAGUGCCCUCUUCCUGCAGCACUGCUUCACUACACAAAGAGCUCUUGUCUUCAAGUUUCCAGAGAUGCUGUUUGAGGAGGACACAGAGCUUUGUGCAGACUUGUGCCUGCGUCUGCUGCGACACUGCAGCAGCAGCAUCGCCUCCGUCAGAAGUCACGCCUCCGCCUCCCUUUACCUGCUCAUGAGACAAAACUUUGAGAUCGGAAAUAAUUUUGCUCGGGUGAAGAUGCAGGUCACAAUGUCACUAUCGUCACUGGUGGGAACCUCGCAGAACUUCAACGAGGAGCAUCUCCGGCGCUCUCUCAAGACCAUCCUGACUUACGCCGAGGAGGACGUGGAGCUCCGUGACACCCCCUUCCCUGAUCAGGUCCAGGAUCUAGUGUUCAACUUGCACAUGAUUCUUACCGACACUGUGAAGAUGAAAGAGCAUCAGCAGGAUCCCGAGAUGCUAAUUGAUCUUAUGUACAGGAUUGCAAAGGGCUACCAGAACUCCCCGGACCUGCGCCUCACGUGGCUCCAGAACAUGGCGGGGAAGCACUCGGAGAGAGGGAACCACGCUGAGGCCGCCCACUGUCUGGUCCACAGCGCCGCCCUGGUGGCGGAGUACCUCAACAUGCUGGAGGAUUGUCGCUACCUGCCAAUUGGUUGUGUCACCUUUCAGAACAUUUCCUCCAAUGUGCUGGAGGAGUCGGCCGUAUCGGAUGAUGUCCUUUCUCCAGAGGAGGAGGGCAUUUGUGCUGGGAAGUACUUUAGCGAGUCGGGCCUGGUUGGCCUCCUGGAGCAGGCGGCCGCCUCUUUCAACAUGGCCGCCAUGUACGAGGCCAUCAACGAGGUGUACAAGAUUCUUCUCCCCAUUCACGAAGCUAACAGAGACUUCAAAAAGCUGGCAGGGGUCCACGGGAAGCUGCAGGACGCCUUCAACAAAGUCUACAACCAAAGCUCAGGAUGGGAGAGAAUGUUUGGAACUUACUUCCGGGUGGGUUUCUACGGCUCUCACUUUGGAGACCUGGACGAGCAGGAAUUUGUCUACAAGGAGCCGUCAAUCACCAAGUUGGCGGAGAUCUCCCACAGGCUGGAGGAGUUCUACUCGGAGAGGUUCGGUGAUGAGGUGGUGGAAAUAAUCAAGGACUCCAGCCCAGUGGACAAAACCAAACUGGACGCCAACAAGGCCUACCUCCAGAUCACAUACGUGGAGCCUUUCUUCGACACCUACGAGUUGAAAGAGAGGAUCACCUACUUUGACAAGAACUACAACCUGCGCACCUUCAUGUACUGCACGCCCUUCACGCUGGACGGCCGCGCUCACGGCGACCUGCACGAGCAAUACAAGCGCAAAACCAUCCUCACCGCCUCACACGCCUUCCCGUACAUCAAGACACGCAUCAACGUGGUCCACAAGGAGGAGAUCAUUCUGGUGCCCAUCGAGGUGGCCAUUGAAGACAUGCAGAAGAAGACGCAAGAGCUGGCAUUCGCCACCAACCAGGACCCGGCCGACUCCAAAAUGCUGCAAAUGGUGUUGCAGGGCUGUGUGGGCACCACUGUCAACCAGGGCCCCCUGGAGGUGGCGCAGGUCUUUCUGGCCGACAUUCCCAACGACCCCAAGCUGUUCCGCCAUCACAACAAAUUGCGUCUGUGCUUUAAAGACUUUGCUAAAAGGUGUGAGGACGCCCUGAGGAAGAACAAGUCUCUGAUUGGGCCAGACCAGAAGGAGUACCACCGGGAGCUGGAGAGGAACUACACUAAACUCAAAGAAGCGCUUGGUCCUCUCCUCAACCGCAAGAUCCCCCAGCUGUACAGAACUCUGCCCGCUGCCGCUCCACAAACACAGCGGAAAGGAGGUGAAGCAGCAGUGUAACAAAAAGUCUGCAGAAUCAUUACAAGCAGCUUCUAUUUGACUCCAGAAAGGAACUCCUACAGUCGCUCCAGCCUUCGCAAAGUGGAGUCUUAAAGCUUACCUGACAGCAAGAGGCUCCGCCCCCUUCGCUGACACACACCAUAUUUUACUGCACACACACACACAUGUCACCCUGUCAUAGCACAAUCACCCUCACACCCCAUCAUCACUACACACACACACACACACACAUGUAUAUGUCACUCCUAGCCCCUCCCCCUCUCACCUCCACACUGUUUAUACUGAACUUAUCUGCACUGCAAACAUCUUUAGGGAGGCCCUGACAGCACUCUGCAAACACUGACCAGGGACUAGACUAGAAGACAACUCUGCAUACACUGACCAGGGACUAGACUAGAAGACAACUCUGCAUACACUGACCAGGGACUAGACUAGAAGACAACUCUGCAUACACUGACCAGGGACUAGACUAGAAGACAACUCUGCAUACACUGACCAGGGA